AAACAGUUGAUAGGCGUCACACAACCUAACUCGAACACUUUGAAUUAUAGCAGGCAGUAUACAAUCCACAACUCCAACAACCACAAUUCUAUCAACAAUCCCCAUAUUUCUACGGCUAUUCUCGAACAUUUCCCAUUCCUUCACCGUCUCAUCAACAUCGUCUUCCUCCGUCUUACAUGUACUACCCGACGCUUCCCCCAGCUCAAUUCGAACCUUCCUUCAACUACCCUCCAGCUCCUCUCGUACCGCACCGCUUUUCUCCUGCAGAUUCUCAGACAUCUCAGACAUGUCAGCAAAUUGGAGCUGAAGCUGGAGCUAGAGAAAGUCCGACCACUUAACACAGAGAAUAAGAAUGUCAAAAACCAAACCGAAAUUAUUGGUU